CCUACGGGAGGCAGCAGUCGAGAAUCUUUCACAAUGGGGGAAACCCUGAUGGUGCGACGCCGCGUGGGGGAAUGCAGGUCUUCGGCUUGUAAACCCCUUUCAUGUGGGAGCAAAUUAAAAAGAUAGUACCACAAGAGGAAGAGCCGGCUAACUCUGUGCCAGCAGCAGCGGUAAUACAGAGGUCUCAAGCGUUGUUCGGAAUCAAUGGGCGUGAAGGGUGCGUAGGCAGAUUGGUAAGUCGUGUGUUAAAGGGGCGGGCUUAAACCGCGGACGGCACACGAGACUGCGCGACUAGAGUAAGGGAGAGGGAACCGGAAUUCGCGGUGUAGCGGUGAAAUGCGUAGAUA
rnacentral:rRNA from 1 species